rnacentral:rRNA from 1 species
GAUUAGUUUGACGAAAGUAUUGCGUUCAAAGAGCAUAAAGAGUCUUUGUCGCGGUAUUAGUACGUCGAUAGUCGGCGCAUUUCUCGAGAGUAAGCAUCGCAACCGAUACGAAAGGCUAGCGAGGCGGUCGGAUUGAGGUCUAGCGUCUUUACGGACGCUAGUUGCCAGUCUGAUCGCGCUCAAGUCGCUAGAUCGCAGUAUGUAUCGAGCGCUUACCAAUACUAAAAUACGUCGACCAUAAAGGUUCGUCGAACGGCGGAUAGUCGGUUAGUUUAUAGUUGGUUACCUGCUCGCAGGUGCUAGCUUACUCGACCGGCUUAGAAGUCGUCGACGACUCGACGUAUAGGCGUUAGCGGUGUCAGCGUCGGUCACCCGUCCGACCCGUCUUGAAACACGGACCAAGGAGUCUAACAUAUGCGCGAGCCAAUAGGCGGAAAACCUAAAGGCGCAAUAAAAGUAAAGACCGUUCUACGAAUGGUUAAGGUACGAUCCUGGAUUUUUUAAACUGAAAUUCAGGCGCAGUACCGUCUCGUCUCUAAGGCACGUCCUAAGGGCGAAGACAGAGUGCAUACGUUGGGACCCGAAAGAUGGUGAACUAUGCCUGAGCAGAGCGAAGCCAGAGGAAACUCUGGUGGAGGUUCGUAGCGGUUCUGACGUGCAAAUCGAUCGUCAGACUUGGGUAUAGGGGCGAAAGACUAAUCGAA